rnacentral:rRNA from 1 species
GUCCUAGCCGUAAACGAUGGGCACUAACUAGAAGUCUCACCUGUGGGAUUUCUGGUGAAGCAAAUGUGAUAAGUGCCCCGCCUGGGAAGUAUGGUCGCAAGGCUAAAACUCAAAGGAAUUGACGGGGGCUCACACAAGCGGUGGAGCAUGUGGUUCAAUUCGACGCAACGCGAAGAACCUUACCUAGGCUUGACAUGCAGGGAUUAGAUCCGUGAAAGCGGGUCGAUUGCCUUCGGGUGUAACCUGCACAGGUGUUGCAUGGCUGUCGU